GAUGAACGCUAGCUACAGGCUUAACACAUGCAAGUCGCGGGGCAGCAUGGGGGUUGCUUGCGAUCCCCGAUGGCGACCGGCGCACGGGUGAGUAACGCGUAUCCAACCUGCCCUUCACCACGGGAUAACCCGGCGAAAGUCGGACUAAUACCGUAUGUUGUCCAUUGACGGCAUCCGAUUUGGACGAAAGGUUUGGCGGUGAAGGAUGGGGAUGCGUCCGAUUAGCUGGACGGCGGGGUGACGGCCCACCGUGGCGACGAUCGGUAGGGGUUCUGAGAGGAAGGUCCCCCACACGGGAACUGAGACACGGUCCAGACUCCUACGGGAGGCAGCAGUGAGGAAUAUUGGUCAAUGGGCGUAAGCCUGAACCAGCCAAGUAGCGUGCAGGAUGACGGCCCUAUGGGUUGUAAACUGCUUUUAUGCGGGGAUAAAGUGGCCCACGUGUGGGUUUUUGCAGGUACCGCAUGAAUAAGGACCGGCUAAUUCCGUG
rnacentral:rRNA from 1 species